rnacentral:rRNA from 1 species
GACGUAGGGCGCGAGCGUUGUCCGGAAUUAUUGGGCGUAAAGAGCUCGUAGGCGGUCUGUCGCGUCGGCUGUGAAAACCUGGGGCUUAACUCCGGGCCUGCAGCCGAUACGGGCAGACUAGAGUUCGGCAGGGGAGACUGGAAUUCCUGGUGUAGCGGUGAAAUGCGCAGAUAUCAGGAGGAACACCGGUGGCGAAGGCGGGUCUCUGGGCCGAAACUGACGCUGAGGAGCGAAAGCGUGGGGAGCAAACAGG